GAAAUGCGAUAAGUAGUGUGAAUUGCAGAAUUCAGUGAAUCAUCGAAUCUUUGAACGCACAUUGCGCCCCUUGGUAUUCCAUGGGGCAUGCCUGUUCGAGCGUCAUUUGUACCCUCAAGCUCUGCUUGGUGUUGGGUGUUUGUCCCCGUCUCCGCGCGUGGACUCGCCCCAAAGUGAUUGGCAGCCGGCGUACUGGUCCCGGAGCGCAGCACAUGUCGCGCAAACGAGUGCCUUGGUACGGCGGCGUCCAUAAGCCCCUCUCUCACGCUCUUGACCUCGGAUCAGGUAGGGAUACCCGCUGAACUUAAGU
rnacentral:misc_RNA from 1 species